GUGAGUGACAAAAACUCUGAACUCUUUCUGUUUUUUAACUUCUACAAACUUUUCUAUAUACUCUGUCCCAGGUGGCUGGGCAAAUACUUGAGCCUUGAAAUGAAAUCUUGGAGUAUUCAGUAACUCGCACCAGCUAAAUCAAUCAUGAAUUGUGUAAUAAACUUUAGCCUUUGGCAUUUCAGAAUUUCAAGACUUUUAUUGCGGCAGCUGUUCUUAUAGUUUAUCUUCUAAGUUAUUUGUGUUUUCUUUAUAAUCUGUGUAUACUUUUUAUAAAAGGAGUAAUACAUGAACCUCUGAGUCAGGGAAUAGAGCUAGAAUUGUAUGUUUUUUGCUAUAUGCAAAUGAUAAUUUACUUUGUUUCAUAUUUUUACUUUCAAAAUUAUUUUUAAAAGGUAGUAUUUCAGAUAGAUGAUAUAGUGUUUAAUUACUGUUUAACAAACAUCAUUGCUGUGUGAGAUCUCCCAGGAAACUUGUAAUCACGCAAACAUUGUUUUUGUAAACUUUUAAAAAUCAAAUUUACCUUCAUACUUGUCUAGCAAUUAUCAAUAUGUGGGCAAAGGACUCACACAGAAGAUCUAUUAAAGAAGAACUAAAUAUAUUGAACAAAAUUAUACAAUAGAAUCAGUCUUUCAACAAUAUGACUACUCCAAACCUCAAUAUUACUAAAUUUAUUGUUUUGCUAAUCUUGUUCCACAUAUUUCAAUUUUUUUAAAUGAGUUUCUCUAAGGACUUCUGUGAGCGAGAAGAGUUUGUAUGUUUCUUUAACAUUUUCAUUUCUCUUCUUAUGUUCAAAUGCUCUGACCAUUUUUCUUUGAGUUGUCUAUAUUGUUAUUUCUGAAAUAUAUUAGUUCUUUAGAUAUGUGAAUUUUAAUCAUAUCUGGUAUAUAUACUAUAGAUAUAAUUCCUAAUUUAUCACCAUUAUUUUAACUUUAUUGAUUCAUUUUAAUUUUUAAUAUUCAAGUUUAUGAAAAUAUUUAGUAAUAACUUUUAUACCUCAUUAAUUACUAAGUAGGAAUAUUCUUCCUCGUAUCUAAUAUAUAGUCUGAUAUAAUUCUUAAAAAUAUUUUUGCAGUCGCAUUGUACUUAGCUCUGCAUUUCAUCAGGAGUUUAUUUUUCUAACGCAUGGGGUAGAAACCUAAAUUUUUUUCCUGAAGUAGCAAAGCAUCAUUUAUUGAACUGUCAUCGGUCUAUUCAUACCACAUUUCCCACUGAUUUGAAUAUUGUCUUAAUUGUGUGCUAAAUUUAUGAGUAUGUGGAUCUGCUGAAUUCUGUGAUAUUGACCAGUCUAUCAAGAUCAAUAUUGGCAUGAUACUGUUUUAAUUGCUAUAAAUUUAUAGAAAUAUAUGUUAUGAUAUGUAGCAAAUCAACCAUCCCUCACUAUUAUUUUUGUAUUCUUAAAGUAAUGCUGGAUUGCAAGAAUAAGUAUAUCUCCAAAUUUCAGUGUCUGAAACAAACAGAAGUUUGUUUCUCGUCCAUGUAACCAAGGCAAAUGCUCCUGGUUGGCAGGUGGCUUCCUCCAGGCAGUAAAUCUACAGCCCAGGCUCCCUGCAUCUUAUGGCUCCAAUCACUUUGGAUCUCAUCGUCGCCUGCACAUUGCCAUACACAGGGAAGGAGAAGAGAUGGAGAAGGCAAAGACUUUCUGAAAGCCGUGGCUAAAAGCUGGCAUGUGUCACAUCAGCUCACAUUCCAUUGUAGAGACGGGGUUUCACCGUGUUAGCCAGGAUGGUCUUGAUAUCCUGACCUCGUGAUCCGCCCGCCUUGGCUUCCCAAAGUGCUGGGAUUACAGGCGUGAGCCACCGCUCCCGGCCUGGCAGGCAUUCUUGAGGCAAACGGGAAAUGGGUGAACGGGAGGAACAUUGGCAGCACUUGUGGUCUGCACCAAGAACUGAAUCGAAUUUCCAUGUGUUAUUGAAUGUUCACAAAGACCUUGUACAGCGAGUGUUACUACCUCUGGUCAAUGAUUCAACUCAAGGCUCAGAAAAGUCAAGUGUCUUGUCCAGGGACACUUAGUCAGAAGUGAAUCCAAGGUUUAAGCUCAAGUCUGCCUAACUCUGAAUUUCACAGCCUUUUGCUACAUAUGGCGAAUAAUAUAUCCCUGAGCACUAAAGGCAGACUCCAAGGAUCUUGUCUCUGCAAUCAUCAUUCUGGCCAUAAUUUAUGAAAAGCAACCCAAAGUAUGUGAUGUAAUAAAAAGUACUAUCUAUGAGUUUACCCUUCCAAAAAUUGAACUGAAUUCUGAGCUCUAAAUUUGGAAUCAAAAGAACUUUUCUCUGCACUAAUCAUUUGGAACAUCACUUAAAGAAAACAACGAAAAACUGGUGUCCCCUGAGAGAAAGCAAUACAAAACAUUAUGCAUAAAGAAAUCCUUCCAAAAAAUAAACCAAAUCCAGUCAAAUCUCUAGUUUUGACUCCUAGCUUACCGGAAAUACGUGAUGGGAAAAAAAUGAAAUGACACCACUAUGAUUCAAUCAGCCAAAUCCAGCAUAUGCAAAUUUCUACCAGAUAAAUGGUUUAGUUUCUUCCCCAAACAAAUGGCACAAGGAAACGGAGGUAAGAAUGGGAUGCUGUUAUAGAUUUUAAAAGAUUUAAGAAAGUAUAAACUAAAUACACUAUGUGCAUCCUCUCUGAACGUGCUUCAAACAUAUCAAGGGGUCAAUGAGCAGUUUUGAAACAAUAAGGGAAUUUGAACACUGAAUGGUUGUCAGAAGAUAGUAAGAGAUCAUUAUUAAUUUUACUAGACAUAAUGAUGUUCUGAUUUUGUUUUUUUUUUAAAAAAAAAACAGUGUUAUUUCCUUUAUAGAUACAUCAUAUAGUAUUAACUAAUGAAAUGCUUUGAUAUCUGGAACGUUUAAAAAAUAUUCCCGAUGGAGUAAGUGCAAAGAAACAGGUAAGCAAAAUGCUGAUAAUUGCUGAAACACAGGAUGUGUACCUGGGGCUUCAUUUACUAUCUCUUCAUUUUCUAUUUUGAUAUUUGUUGGACAUUCUCAUAAAAAGGAAAGUUAUGUUUUAUUUUCUCAUAAGCUAGUAAUGAAAUAGCCCUACGUAACUGAUAUUGUAGAGACAAGAAUAGGUGUAAUAGAGCUUAAGGUUUUCAUUUAAAAAACUAUCUGUAGACUUCAAUGGAUCUUAGGUGGCAUCCAUGCAAUAACACUCGUGGAACAUGCAGGACAGGUGUGGAGCUCCAUCUUCACACAGUGACAUUUUUUAUGCUUCUGUUUUCCCUAAGAGUGGAGUGAGAGGAUGAUUAUUUUAUAUCAUGGACUUCUUCCCUGCUAUACUUUUUUUAAUUAUUUUACUUUCACUUCUGGGAUACAUGUGCUGAGCAUGCAGGCUUGUUUACAUAGGUAUACAUCUGCCAUGGUGGUUUGCUGCACCUAUCAACCCAUCAUACAGGUUUUAAGCCCUGCAUGCAUUAGGUAUUCGCCCUAAUGCUCUCCCUCGCCUUUCCCCCCACCCCCUGAUAGCCCCCAGUGAGUCAUAUUCCCCUCCCUGUGUCCAUGUGUUCUCAUUGUUCAACUCCCAUUUAUGAGUGAGAAUAUGUGGUGUUUAGUUUUCUGUUCCUGUGUUAGUUUGCUGAGAAUGAUGUUUUCCAGCUUCAUCCAUGUCCCUGAAAAGGACAUGAGCUCAUUCUUUUUUAUGGCUGCAUAGUAUUCCACGGUGUUAUAUGUGCCACAUUUUCUUAAUCCAGUCUGUCAUUGAUGGACAUUUGGGUUGUUUCCAAGUCUUUGCUAUUGUAAAUAGUGCUGCAAUAAACAUAUGUGUGCAUGUGUCUUUGUAGUAGAAUGAUUUAUAAUCCUUUGGGUAUAUGCCCAGUAAUGGGACUGAUGGGUCAAAUGGUAUUUCUGGUUCUAGAUCCUUGAGGAAUUGCCACACUGUCUUCCACAAUGGUUGAACUAAUUUAUACUCCCACCAACAGGGUAAAAGCAUUCCUAUUUCUCCACAUCCUCUCCAGCAUCUGUUGUUUCCAAAUGUUUUAAUGAUUGCCAUUCCACCUGGCGUGAGAUGGUAUCUCAUUGUGGUUUUGAUUUUCAUUUCUCUAAUGACCAGUGAUGAUAAGCUUUUUUUCAUAUGUUUGUUGGCCACAUAAAUGUCUUCUUUUGACUUUUAUGUGGAAACAAAUUUAACUGCACAGAGAGGUGAAAAUUAAUUAAUAACUUUUAAAGUAAUUCCCUAAGUUUCUAAGGAUCUAUAUGUUUCCAUCUGACUUUAUUUUAUUUAAGCUCUUGAUUGAUGCUGCAUUUGGAGCAGGUUCAUGAACAUGAAUAGAGUUAAUCUGGGACAGAUUUCCCUCAUUUGAUUUUUUCACUGUUUCCAUCACAGAACUUAUUUCAUGCUCACCAUGUUUGCAGGCAUUGAGCUUGGUACUGGAGCCACAGAGCUGGAUCAGACAGACUUGUGCAAAUAUUUCAGGUUUUUUUUGUGGGGGGGUCAUAUUUAUAGAUAAAUAACAGUAAAGAGUGACGGGUUCUUAUGAAAAUGCAUACACAGUGAAGUAGAGGGUGAAAAGGAGGGAUGUGUUCUAUGAGGAGGAAGAGUGAUAAGAAAGUGUAAGGGGAUGUGUCUGUGUCUAGACAUAUGUGUGUUCACGUGUGUGCGUGCUUGUGUGUACUGCAUGUGUAUAUGUGUGGCCAUGCACCUGUGUGCAUGUUCAUGUGUGUGUGUGUAUGUGUCUGUGUUGAGGACUAAAUUAAUUGGGCUUAUGGAAGCAGGGAGCCACUGAUAGGUUUAAUUAGAGACUGACAUGAUAUGAUAGUUUAGGUGGAUUUCUCUGGGGGCUGUGUUGAGGGACAGUGGGGAGGAGAGCUAGAAGGAAGAAAAGGACACAUGCAUAACAGAAGCAAUAUCUGUCUAUGGGAUGGUGGAAAGAAUCAGAAAAGACUUAAUAAAACAUGUGACACUUUAACUGAAUCUUGAAAUAGACAAGUGUUGGAGGAGGGAGUUGGACCAGAUACUUCAUGCAAAGGGAAGAAAAGUGCACAAACAAAAUAUGAGAAACAAGGCAGACAGGCAUUUUUUUAAAAUUUUCGCACCCACUGAUAGACCAGUGAUGCAUUCACAUCGUCUGCAUUCAUGAUCAACAAAAGUGCUUUCCUAGAACAUGAACCUCAACCCAAGUGUCGCCUCAAGUAGUGUAUGCAUGAACUCAAGCAUUAAAUUAGAAUUGAUUUUUUAAAAAACUCACACAAACAGAUGUAUUAUUUAAAAAUCUUUAAAGCAGGUUUAAACAGUUUUCAGGAUUAAAAGCAGCCACUAUUAGAAAGAACAAAAAUACAUUUGACAUAAAUAUAAGGAGCCUCAAUAGAACCUCCUGUACCCAGUCAUUGUCAAUGCCACAUCCAUUCAUUCACCAGCCCUUAUAUCAAUGCUUGCUGGGCUCACUUACCACGAUCAGCACGUGCAUGUCCUUAUCUGAAAGCUUGCCACUCAAAUGUGCUCAGUCUUACCUGUGUGGCUGGGAGUGUUGGGGAUUUAAUGUCAAGGGAAAGAAUCUUCCAUCAAUGAAUGAUGAAAGUUAGUUUUCACAACUUCCGGUCCCCUUGGCCCUCAUCAAAGGGCUCCAGGUGAGGUUUGGGCUCCUUGCUAUCCUCCGAGUUUCCACGGUAGUUUUAAGCACCAUUGCCCGUGGUAAUGGCUGACAUUGAUACUGCACUUUUUUUUUAUUUAAGAUGGAGUUCCCCUCUGCCACCCAGACUGGAGUACAGUGGCGCGAUCCUGGCCAUCGCAACCUCCGCCUCCCAGGUUCAAGCGAUUCUCCUGCCUCAGUCUCUCAAGUAGCUGGGAUAUGGGCACCUGUCACCAUGCCCAGCUAAUUUUUUUAAAAUUUAUUUUUAGUAGAGAUGGGGUUUCACCAUGUUGGCCAGGCUGGUCUCGAACUCCUGACCUCAGGUGAUCCACCCACACUUUUUAUUGUUUGCCUACACUUUCUAGACUUGCUUCAUCAGCCUACUCCGUUUCUGGUUGAUAUGGUUUGGUUGUGUCCCCACUCAAAUCUUAUCUAGAAGUGUAAUCCCCAAGUCUCAAGGGAGGGACCUGGUGUGAGGUGAUUGGAUUGGGGGGUGGUUCCCGCCAUGCUGUUCUCAUGAUAGUGAGUGAGUUCUCAUGAGAUCUGAUGGUUUUAUAAGGCAGUUUUCCCUAUUCUUGCUCACUCUUCUCUCUCUUUCUGCCAUGUGAAGAAGGUCCUUGCUUCCCCUUCACCUUCUACCAUGAUUGUAAGUUUCCUGAGGCCUCCCCUCAGCCAUGCACAACUGUGAGUCAAUUAAACCUCUUUCCUUUAUAAAUUACUCAGUCUCAGGUCGUAUCUUUAUAGCAGUAUGAGAAUGGACUAAUACACUGGUCUAUCCUUCAUCCAAAUUAACUACCUGCACUGCAGUCCUUGUCUCAGGCUCUGCUUUGAGGGACCCCAACUGUGACAGCCGCAUUAGAAUGCAUCACAUACUGCAGUGAAAUUCUAGAGUGGGUGUUGUCAGGUGGUGAUGAUUGUUAGAUAUGUCAGUCUGUUUUCAGGCUGCUGAUAAAGACAUACCUGAGACUGGGUAAUUUAUAAAGGAAAAGGAGGUUUAAUGGACUCACAGUUCCACAUGGCUAGGGAGGCCUCACAAUCAUGGCAGAAGGUGAAAGGCACGGCUUACAGGGUGGCAGCAAGAGAGGAAAUGAGAACCAAGUGAAAAGGUUUCUGCUUAUAAAACCAUCAGCUCUUGUGAGACUUAUUCAUUACAAUGAGAACAAUAUGGGGGAAACUGCCCCCAUGAUUCAAUUAUCUCCCACCAGAUCCCUCCUACAACACAUGAGAAUUGUGGGUGCUACAAUUCAAGAUGAGAUUUGAGUGGGGACAAAGUCAAACCAUAUCAUUAGAUAGGACACUGGAGAAAGGCAAGAAAGAAAAGACAUCUGAAGAAUGAAGGGAGCCAAAGAAAUGCCAACAUUUUGCUUUUUGAAGAAAAGCUAAAUUAAAGUCAAAAUGGAUUUAUCAAUUUCCUUGGGUUCGUGAAUGUACAGAACUUUAUUAAGGUAAGUCAAAACUUCUCUUUUUAUACUUAACCCAACUCAAAUUGGCUUAUGUAGGGGAAACAAGAAAUCAAAACCCAAAGGAACAUGCCAGUUCAGGAAUAUACAGUUAGCUAAGCUUCUUACUGAACAAAUAAAAUCACAAAGCAUGUAUGCAGAUAGACCACAAGUGACUAUAGUGAGGUAGUUUAUUUCAGCUCUAUUUAUCUGGAAUUAAUGCUACACCAUCUGACAUAUUAAGCAGUUAUGCAUCAGGUAUCAGUAGUUACAUCUUCCAGUGCCUCUUACAGUUGCCCCUGAUGGUAUAUCUACUCGAAAGUAUGUAAGUGCACUCACAUUCUUCAACAUUUCCUCAUUAAAGCCAGAUGGAAUUGGGCUUCUUAUACUUGCUAUUCAUUCAUUUAAUAUUAUUAGAGUGUCUACCAUGUAGUAGGCAUUUUCUGUAAAUGCUGGGGAUAUCUUGAUAACAAAGACAAAACCUUUCCCCACAUAGAUCUUAAAUUUUAGUGCGAAGAGAAAGACAAUGACUAUUUUGAAGUUACGAAGGGGAUUUGCUGAUUUGAAUGCCUACUUAGGAGAUUCAGAAGUGGUUGGAUUUAGGUGCUUAGAUUAAGUCAUCAGGAAUUUCCACCUUCUACCCAUAACAGUGAGCAUCUGAAACUUACAAAACAAUAUUUCCUAUUUUACUUCAUUUUAUUUUAGAGACAGGGUCUUGCCUGUUGCUCAGUCUGGAAUGCAGUGGCACAAUCAUAGCUCACUGCAGCCUCAAUUUCCUGGGCUCAAGGGAUCCUCCCAAAGUGCUGGGAUUACAGGUAUAAGCCACCAUGCCCGGCCAAGAUACUCUAUUUUUAAUUUACAGUUUAUAUCAAGACACUGAGCCAGGGGAAUUUGAAGUCACCCAUCCAGUGGUCUUAGCAUCUUUGCUCACACACUGAAUGACUUGAUGUAAAUGACUGAAUCAGACUUGUUUGCUUAUAGCUGACACCACCGAGCAAACAUAUUCUCUCUUUCUCUGGGACAACACCUGAUAUGGUCUGGCUCUGUGUCCCCACCCACAUCUCAUCUUAAAUUGUAAUCCAAAUUGUAAUCCCCACAUGUUGGGGGAGGGACCUCAUGGGAAGUGAUUGGAUCAUGGUGGUGGUUCCCCCUGUGCUAUUCUCGUGAAAGUGAGUGAGUUCUCAUGAGAUCUGAUGGUUUUAUAAGGGGCUCUUCCCCCUUCAUUUUGCACUUCUGUCUCCUGCUGCCUUGUGAAGAAGGACAUGUUUGCUUCCCCUUCCACCAUGAUUGUAAGUUUCCUGAGGCCUCCCCAGCCAUGCCAAACUGUGAGUUAAUUAAACCUCUUUCCUUUAUAAAUUAUCCAGUCUCGGGUAUUUCUUUAUAGCAGCAUGAAAAUGGACUAAUACAGCACCUAUCUCCCAGUAUUGUAUUUUCACAAUGGAAGUUUUAAUCCAGGGAUGUCUAAUCUUGUGGCUUCCUAGGCCACACUGGAAGAAGAAUUGUCUUGGGCCACACAUAAAAUACACUAACACUAAUGAUAGCUGAGAAGCUAAAGAAAAAUCACAAAUAAAUCUUACAAUGUUUCAAGAAAGUUUACGAAUUUGUAUUGGGCUAUCCUGGGCUGCGUGCAGCCAUGGGCUAUGGGUUGGACAAGCUUGGUUUAAUCCAUAGAUGGAGCAUUCUACACAGCUCCCUUAAAGAUGUUCCAGAAGUGCUGACUCUGUGUCAGGCACCAUGUUCACCACUUAGAUGUUCGUUUAAUCCUUACAAAAGAGCCAUGGAGCAUGGACUGUUACUGUGGCAGAUGUGUUAGCCUCCUGUGGUUGCCAUAACAAAAUACUACAAACUGCGUGGCUUAAAACACCAGGAAUUUAUUCUCACUGUUCUAAAAGACGGAAGUCCGAAAUCCAGGAGUCAACAGGGCUGUGCUCCUUUUUGAGGCUCUAGGGAAGAAUACUUCCUCCCCUCUUCCAGCUUCUGCUGGCCACAGGUGUUCCUCGGCUUGUGGCCACAUCACUCCAAUUGCUGCCUCCAUCCCACAUAGCCUUCUUCCCUAUGUGUGUGUUCUCACAUGGUCUUUGUAUAAGGAUAUCAGUUAUGGGAUUUAGUUCCUACCAUAAUCCAUCAUGAACUCUACUGCACUAAUUACGUCUACAAAGGCCUUAUUGCCAAAUAAGGUCACAUUCUGGGGUUUCAGGUGAAUAUAAAUUUUGGAAGGACACUAUUCAACCCAGUACAACAAGUAAAAUUUAAAAAGGCACCCUUUUACCUUGGCAUGUUAUCUCACUUGAUUUUUAUAACAGCCCUGUAGAUUAAACAGAUAAUAUGUUAUAUUCCCACUUCUAGAUAUCAUCACCCAUUAUUUGAGAGAAUGGAAAUGAAGUUCAGGGCUGUUAACACUCCUGCCACUGAAACAUCCCAGGCCAGUGACCUUUUCAUGUCUGACCUAACAGGUGGUUUCCAACCACAGUUACUUGUGACAUCAUUCCAUCACUCCCCAUACACAUUCCCUGUAGAUCAACUUAUCUGGCCCUACAAUUAUAGUUACAGGGAAUUUUACAUUCUUCAUCUUCCACAGGCAACUGAAUCUUCUGGGACAAAAAGCAUAUGUUCUCCCAUAGUAAUAAAAUUUCCCUUUUUUAGCCUGGCAUGUGACUGCCAAUAAUAACACUUCCCAGACUCUCAGGUGUCCACGUCUAUCCAAAGGGAAAUAUAGUCAGUGAUAACUUCCAGACAUAGAUGAAACAUGCCACACCUUAUAGUCACUUUAUGGGGUUCAUUCUCUCUUCCCAUAGACUGUCAUGCUGUCAUCAUGGCUGGAUCUGAUACGGCCACCGUGGACCUUGAGGUGACCUCGGGAAUGGAGACAGUGCAUGGGAGAGAAUCACAUUGGAAGGGGCCUGGGUUUCUGAAGACCCUGUAAGACAGAUCUCCUUGCAGCCCUGACUGCCCACAUUAGGGCUUUUAUGUUAGGGUGAAGUUACCUUGCAUUGUCAUAUAAGCAAUUGCUAUUUGUGGUGUCUUGCAAAUAAACCUAUUCUGAUCUAGUAUGUUUCCUAAAAAACAAAAGUUUGAACCCAGCUCUUUACGUGUUACAUGUUCUGAAUACAAAAAUAAGACCCAGUUUCUGCCCCCUAGCAGGACCCAAAACCCCUCAGUGAAGGCAUACACCAUAGGAAUAAUCUCACAAGUACUUU
rnacentral:lncRNA from 10 species